ensembl:snRNA U6 U6 spliceosomal RNA
GUGCUCACUUUCAGCAGUACAUAUCCUAAAAUUGGAAUGAGACGGAGAGGAUUAGCCUGGGCCCUGUACAAGGAAGACAGGCAAAUUCAUGAAGUGUUUCAUAUUUUU